rnacentral:misc_RNA from 1 species
AACUCUUAAGAGCCGCCGCUUGCCUCUUAUUCUCAUCCACUUGGGAGAACACCUUCAUGGCAAUCAUGUUAUCAUCAAAGUACUGUGCAUAAGGGUGGCCCUUAGGUACUAGCCUCCGGUAUUUCUGGAACUGCUUCUCCGCCUCCUCCUUCUUCCUCAUCAAAGUAUAAAUAAUCCCCUGACACAAGUACGGCCGGAAGUCCCUCGGCUCCUCCUUCA